ensembl:lncRNA
AAAUGACAGAAGAGACAACAACAGGUAAAGUUUCACUGACACUAUGUGUAUAUGUCACAUAAUGCGGCAAGUGCAGGUAUGGCAGUUUAAUAAAAUAACAAGUCCAAGGGAUCAGGCAGAAAUCAAUAAACAAAGACAGGCAGAGCUCAGGCAUUCAGGCAAACAGUCCAAACAAGGCAAGGCAAAAAGAUGCGAUCAAAAACAAGAACAAAGUCAAAACCAGAAUAAACAAACAUGGUCUCAAGGCUUGGUAACGGCAGAGACAAAAUGUAACUGAGCGUAUUGCUUCACAAAGACAUUGUGUAUGAGAGUCUCUUUUAUGUGUGGUGUGAUUGUGAGUAUAAUUGGGAACAGGUGUCUCUGAUUAGUCCUCAGGAAAAGGUGACGUGUCUGUGUGUAGUUUUGUGAGUUGUAGUCGUUGGCCAUGAUUGUAGUGUGCAAUGCAUUCUGAAAAAUGGAGUCAUGAGUUUACCAUGAUAUGACAGUAUAUAUAAAUAUGUGAGCACUGCAUCCACCCAUUAUCCCAUUCGUUCGACAUAUAGGAUCUGAUACGUUUUUAAAUACACAUCAGUAUAUUUUAUCACAAUGUGGAUUUGAAUCAUUCAUUUGUAUCGUUCUUUCUCCCCCUCUGUUCUUCUCUGUCUCUACCACAAAAUGACAG